UACGUAGGGUGCAAGCGUUAAUCGGAAUUACUGGGCGUAAAGCGUGCGCAGGCGGCUUUGCAAGACAGAUGUGAAAUCCCCGGGCUUAACCUGGGAACUGCAUUUGUGACUGCAUGGCUGGAGUGCGGCAGAGGGGAUGGAAUUCCGGCGUGUAGCAGUGAAGUGCGUAGAUAUGCGGAGGAACACCGAUGGCGAAGGCAAUCCCUGGGCCUGCACUGACGCUCGAUGCACGAAAGCGUGGGAGCAAACAGG
rnacentral:rRNA from 1 species